UACGAAGGGGGCUAGCGUUGUUCGGAAUCACUGGGCGUAAAGAGCGCGCAGGCGGUUGAUUAAGUCGAAUGUGAAAGCCCCCGGCUCAACUGGGGAGGGUCAUUCGAUACUGAUCGACUUGAAGGCAGGAGAGGGAAGUGGAAUUCCGGGUGUAGUGGUGAAAUGCGUAGAUAUCCGGAGGAACACCAGUGGCGAAGGCGACUUCCUGGCCUGUUCUUGACGCUGAGGCGCGAAAGCUAGGGGAGCAAACGGG
rnacentral:rRNA from 1 species